UGGGGAAUAUUGGACAAUGGGCGAAAGCCUGAUCCAGCCAUGCCGCGUGUGUGAAGAAGGUCUUCGGAUUGUAAAGCACUUUAAGUUGGGAGGAAGGGCAGUAAGCGAAUACCUUGCUGUUUUGACGUUACCGACAGAAUAAGCACCGGCUAAUUCUGUGCCAGCGGCCGCGGUAAUACAGAGGGUGCAAGCGUUAAUCGGAAUUACUGGGCGUAAAGCGCGCGUAGGUGGUUCGUUAAGUUGAAUGUGAAAGCCCCGGGCUCAACCUGGGAACUGCAUCCAAAACUGGCGAGCUAGAGUAGGGCAGAGGGUGGUGGAAUUUCCUGUGUAGCGGUGAAAUGCGUAGAUAUAGGAAGGAACACCAGUGGCGAAGGCGACCACCUGGGCUCAUACUGACACUGAGGUGCGAAAGCGUGGGGAGCAAACAGG
rnacentral:rRNA from 1 species